UACGUAGGGGGCAAGCGUUGUCCGGAUUUAUUGGGCGUAAAGAGCGUGUAGGCGGCCAUGUAGGUCCGUUGUGAAAACUCGAGGCUCAACCUCGAGACGCCGAUGGAAACCAUGUGGCUAGAGUCCGGAAGAGGAGAGUGGAAUUCCUGGUGUAGCGGUGAAAUGCGCAGAUAUCAGGAAGAACACCCGUGGCUAAGGCGGCUCUCUAGUACGGUACUGACGCUGAGACGCGAAAGCGUGGGGAGCGAACAGGG
rnacentral:rRNA from 1 species